rnacentral:misc_RNA from 1 species
GAUGAAGAACGCAGCGAAAUGCGAUACGUAAUGUGAAUUGCAGAAUUCAGUGAAUCAUCGAGUCUUUGAACGCACAUUGCGCCCCCUGGUAUUCCGGGGGGCAUGCCUGUCCGAGCGUCAUUGCUGCCCUCAAGCACGGCUUGUGUGUUGGGCCUCCGUCCUCCUCCCGGGGGACGGGCCCGAAAGGCAGCGGCGGCACCGCGUCCGGUCCUCGAGCGUAUGGGGCUUCCUCACCCGCUCUUGUAGGCCCGGCCGGCGCUUGCCGACACAUCAAUCUUUUUUCCAGGUUGACCUCGGAUCAGGUAGGGAUACCCGCUGAACUUAAGCAUAUCAAUAAGCGGAGGA